GUUGAAUAAAACAUGAAAUUUGAUCUAUUUAUUUUGAUCAUUUAAGUUGAACUGUUAAUAUACACACAUGUAUGUGUGUUUGCGUGUGUGUGUGAGAGAGAGAGAGAGAGAAAGAGAAAGAGAGAAAUAGUAAUUAGUUUUUGGAGACAAAUGUCCAAUACAAAUAUGGAAAGCUGCACACCUCCUCAGUUUUCUGGUAAUCGUAAUAAAAACAAAGUCACCAGAUGGGCAAAAGCUAAAAAGAUGAAAAUAUCAAGUUUGGAGAGGAUGUAGAAUAACAGAAUCUCUCAUACUCUCUGUUAGGGCAAGUGGGGCUGUAAAUUGGAUCAACUACUUUGGAAAAACAGUUUGGCAUUGUCUAGUAAAAGUGAAGAUGUACAUAACCCUAUACCCCAGCAAUUGUACUCCUAGAGAUUUCCCCUGGACAAAUUUGAUUUCAUAUAUCAGGAGACAUAAAUAAAAAUGCUCAUAGCAACACUGUUUGUAAUAUUCCCAGUGGCAACAAUGCAAAUGUUUGUCAGGUAUGUAAUUAAUAAAUAACUGUGAUAUGUUUACAAAUGGACUAUCAUACAGCAAUAACAUGGAUAACCUACUUCUAUACAUAAUAACAUGGAUGACUCCCACAAAUGUAAUGUUGAGUAAAGACACAAAAUCCUCCUUCCUUUCACACAAAUGUUAAAACAGAUGAAACUAAGCAACAUGUGUAGGGAUACAUACAUCAGUGAUAAAACUGUAAAGCAAAGCAAGGAAAUGAUGGUCAAGAAUGUUAGCAGAGUAGUUAGGGAAGAGCAAGGUGGUUUUAUCAUUAAGGAGAGGAAUGCAGUGGGUUAGAGAGGGCACCCGGGCUACUGAUAAUAUUCAUUUCCCAACCCUGGUAGUAAACACAUACGUAACGUUCACUUUAUAGUUGUUUGUAAUACACUUUAAUGAAGUUUUCUGGAUGUAUAUUUCACAAAAAAAAUUGAUUUCUAAACUUGCUAUUUUCUGUAUGACUUGUGUAUUAAUGUAUUAAUUGAAGUUAAGCAAGAACAAAAAAUAUUUUCUGAAGCCUGUAAAAUGGAGAGAAAUGCUCAAGAAUAUGUUUUGGAAGGUACCAGCAACAGGGCAGCUCCAGGGUUCACAACCCUUGGAACCCUGUCCUUAGGGUGUAGUUACGGGAUAAUUUGUUCAACCUCUUAUAUCCUGGGUCUCUCUAUUGAAAAUCCCAGUUCCUGGAAGAGAGAAUAGGAUUGGCCUGGUCAUAUUCCCUAUUGGUCACAUGUCCUGAUUUACCAGAGCCAUGUGGAGUCAGAGAGGGGUCAUUCUUCAAAGGCCAGGGAAUGAGAGGGAAGGAAGACUGCAUGGAUGAAAAUAACCUCCAAUCUGGACACUGUCAAAGCCAACAGACAGAAAACACCAAGAUCCAAGAAGGCAUGCAGGUAAGAAACACUGACAAAGCCAAGAUUGUUCUUGAAGAAUUCAUCCCACAGAAGGGCAGCAGUUCACUUGCUGCAUUCUGUUGACCUUUGGAUUCCAGGACUGGAGUACAUAACUAAUGUAAAAGAGUGAACAAUGACAUAUGGAUGACACUCUUCCCACGGUGCCUUAACUCGCCAUAUUCCCUCUGUCUGGGAAAUGUGUGCCAACCCCAAAUGUCACUCUGAUCAUCUCUCCUGUUCAGAAAACUAGACUUUGAUCAUCCUUUAUGAUCUCUUCUCUUGUGAACUUUAUGGUGGUCAAAGUCACAGCAAGGUCGAUUAAGAAAGGCCAAGAAUCAGUGCUCCUGUUUGCUGGGACCAGGAGGCAGAGGACUAGCCUGUCAUUCACAGGUCUUCUUUAGGGGAGGGGGCAGGGCUUGUAAAUUGGGGAAGUGGGUGGGGUGGUGGGAAGCAGGAAAUAUUGCCAGGCCGGCAGGAAUCCUGACCCUCUUGGUAACUCAUCCUGUACCAAGCAACCAAGAUAAUUUUUUAAAGUACAGACUUGUGUGUGGAAAUAUAUCCUUCCCACAGCUCAACCUCAGCUUUGAAAUGAUUCUCAACAGAAACACACACAGGUAAACAGUAACUUUCUGAAGCACAAUGAGUGGCCUCUGCUACAGAGACCAGUUUGGAGACUGCCACAUAAUACAAUUUAAAUUAAGCAUGAGUAUCUUUUUUUUUUU
rnacentral:lncRNA from 10 species